rnacentral:rRNA from 1 species
UACAGAGGGUGCGAGCGUUGUUCGGAAUUAUUGGGCGUAAAGCGCUUGUAGGCGGCCUGUUAAGUUCCGUGUGAAAUCCCCAGGCUUAACCUGGGAAGUGCGCGGAAAACUGGCGGGCUUGAGUGCCGGAGAGGGUCGCGGAAUUCCCGGUGUAGAGGUGAAAUUCGUAGAUAUCGGGAGGAACACCAGUGGCGAAGGCGGCGACCUGGACGGACACUGACGCUGAGACGCGAAGGCGUGGGGAGCAAACAGG